rnacentral:rRNA from 1 species
AUUGAACGCUGGCGGCAGGCUUAACACAUGCAAGUCGAGCGGAGAUGAGGUGCUUGCACCUUAUCUUAGCGGCGGACGGGUGAGUAAUGCUUAGGAAUCUGCCUAUUAGUGGGGGACAACAUUCCGAAAGGAAUGCUAAUACCGCAUACGUCCUACGAGAGAAAGCAGGGGAUCUUCGGACCUUGCGCUAAUAGAUGAGCCUAAGUCGGAUUAGUUAGUUGGUGGGGUAAAGGCCUACCAAGGCGACGAUCUGUAGCGGGUCUGAGAGGAUGAUCCGCCACACUGGGACUGAGACACGGCCCAGACUCCUACGGGAGGCAGCAGUGGGGAAUAUUGGACAAUGGGGGGAACCCUGAUCCAGCCAUGCCGCGUGUGUGAAGAAGGCCUUAUGGUUGUAAAGCACUUUAAGCGAGGAGGAGGCUACUGAGACUAAUACUCUUGGAUAGUGGACGUUACUCGCAGAAUAAGCACCGGCUAACUCUGUGCCAGCAGCCGCCGUAA